GACGAACGCUGGCGGCGUGCUUAACACAUGCAGGUCGAACGAGAGCGUAGAGAAAGCUUGCUUUUUCUACAAUCUAGUGGCAAACGGGUGAGUAACGCGUAAACAACCUGCCCUACGGAUGGGGACAACAGCUGGAAACGGCUGCUAAUACCGAAUACGUUCCGAAAGUCGCAUGACUAUCGGAAGAAAGGAUGGCCUCUAUUUAUAAGCUAUCGCCGGAGGAGGGGUUUGCGUCUGAUUAGCUAGUGGGAGGGGUAACGGCCCACCAAGGCGACGAUCAGUAGCCGGUCUGAGAGGAUGAACGGCCACAUUGGAACUGAGACACGGUCCAGACUCCUACGGGAGGCAGCAGUGGGGAAUCUUCCGCAAUGGGCGAAAGCCUGACGGAGCAACGCCGCGUGAGUGAAGACGGCCUUCGGGUUGUAAAGCUCUGUUAUACGGGACGAAUAAUCUUGUGGUUAAUACCCAUGAGAAGUGACGGUACCGUAAGAGAAAGCCACGGCUAACUACGUG
rnacentral:rRNA from 1 species